AAAAAAGUGAUUACAAAGAAAAAUGAAGUUAUCAGCUAGUAUUUUUUCCUUUGGGCUACACCAAGCACCUUAGUCAUCAGCUACAGGUUUUAGGUGCCUACAGAAAAGUCAUCUCAAUUGGAAAAACUGAACUGAAAGCAUCCCUGAAAGGGUCAAGGAAGGUAAUGUUCAGCUGAGCAUGAGUCAGCCAAUGGUGACUGCUCUUACGGAUGUCUGUGAUGGAGGCACAUUCCUGCUCUACAGGAGCAGUGGAAAAUCCCUUGCAAAUUAGAAAUUAGGCCAGAACACUGUACUUUGCCAUUGUGAUAUCAAUGGUGAGAAAUCAUAUCAGAGGGAAAUUUUUCACUGAAAGGGUGGUGGGGUGCUGGCACACACCCCAGAAGUAUUCAUGGCCAGAUUGAACGGGCCAUGGGCAAUAUAAUCAAGUGCAUGGCAACACUGCCCAGAGCAUGGGGCUGGAACUUGGGUCUUUGAGAUUCCUUCCAACCCAAGCCAUUCUAUGAUUCUAUGAAACCCACCUUCCCCAAUAUCUGGGUUGCUUGAUUAUGGCCACAGGCCAAGAGGACACUCCUCAGACCUUGUCACCUUCUCUCCUUAAAGCUCAGCUAGUUCCAAGGUAUUGCAUUGCUCAAGCCAGCAGUUGAUACCUAGCCAAACACAUGAUUUCCCCACCUUGCUUUUGCUCUAUUGAAUCUCCAGUCUUUUUUUUUCCCCAAUGAGUUUUUUUUUUUUUUUUAAACAGAACUUGACAAGCCCUACAUGUAAAUACAACCACAGGUUAACACCCUUCUGGGAAAAAAAAAAAAAUGUAGAUGCUUAAUUUAAGCUCCUACAUUACUACCAGUAACUGUUUCGCUGACACUGGCAGCUCUUCACAGUCCUGAUUUCCAGAGCAUCUGAGCAUGGCCAAGAAGCCCUUCAGUAGUACUAUAGCCCACAUGCAGCUGCUCUUAUUAAAACAGUUCCUUGUGAGAAACAUUCACUGUGCUUACCCAUUUGCAUCUUGUUCCUUUAUUCUGCAAUAAAAAGAAUAUUCCCUACCCCUCUCAGCCCCCGGGGUUCCUCUGGAGUUACCCCCUUAUUUGGGGUGGAACAAACUUCCAAUAAAUCUUUUUUAAAAAAAACAACAACAACAACACUCUUUUUAAAGCCAGGAAAUAUUUGUUAGUAGGAUUUCAUAUCAAUUUCUGCAGGCAACUGAGCACAUAUAUACACCCAUUGUAGAGCCCAAACACAAAGCUGGAGCAUCAGCUCUCAGCCGAACCACAUCCUGUUUGAGCUGCAAAAAGGCCCCUGGCUUUCAAUCACGUAUUCAGAAAAAUCACUUCCAGUUGUAAUAGCUUCCAAGUGAAAUAGCAAUUUAAACACAAGAACAAGUGGCUGUAAACAAACCCGUUAUAUGCACCGACUACAGCAGCUUCAAUGUCAGCACUGAGCUAUAAGGUUUUGCUGUUGAUGCAACAGCUUGCUUACACUUGAAGUUCACUGACAACUAGGCUACCUGUACAUGCAAAUAUCACUUUUUUCCUUUCUCUGAAAAGCAGCCAACUGAGCAAGCACCUGCAUUGUGUGCAAUUGGUCUGUACCUUCUGCAUGUCCACUGGAAGGAUGCAGACUGUCGAUUGCUACCACUCCCCAGUACAUCUGCCUCCCACCAUAGUCUCACAGCCAGCAUUACACUUUCCCAGUGUGAAGUCAGUAGCUGGAGAGCUUAUUUCUGGACCAAGAUGAGAUCUCUCACACACCAAAGGUUUGAUCAUGCAGGGGUGGAGCAGAGUAUAUAUCGCUCAUUUUCAGCAUUCUACCAUUAAACUCACUUUCUGACCCAGCACUUUCCCAUCCCUCCUUCUCAAGGAUGCAGCUGCUCCUUCAGUGAUAUUGGCUCCCUCCCAGAGUGUUUCCAUUUUGAUUAUAUUUGUGCAAUUGCAGUUUUGUCAAAUCCCAAGGAUGAAAUGGCAUAAAAUACCCUGAGAUUUUCUCCCCUUUACUCCAGUGCAUCCCCUGACCCAAGCCCAGGUCUUACACUGCAGCUGCCUGUUUCAGCACAUCACUGCCUCGUGUUUCCACAUCAGGAUAAUUCAGAGCAUCUAAGAAGCACAGCACUUCUCCAUAAGGAGAUAGGAUUAACUGUGUAAUCUUAUUAAUUGGCACAGUUAAGGCUCUCAAUCUUCUUCCAAGAUUCUGGACGAGGAGGAAGGAAGAAGAUACCCGAAGCACCUGGCAGCUCUAGGGAGGAAUUAAAAGUUCACAUUUAAUUUGCACUCAGAAUGAGUGCCACAAGCCAGUAGUAUUUGCUUUUAACACUUGGUUUGUAUUUUUUUU